AUACGGAGGGUGCGAGCGUUACUCGGAGUCACUGGGCGUAAAGCGUCCGUAGGCGGUCGGGUAAGUCGGGUGUGAAAGCCCCGGGCUCAACCUGGGAAGUGCACCCGAUACUGCUCGACUCGAGUGCGGGAGUGGAUGGCGGAAUUCCCGGUGUAGCGGUGAAAUGCGUAGAGAUCGGGAGGAACACCAGUGGCGAAGGCGGCCAUCUGGCCCGCAACUGACGCUGAGGGACGAAAGCGUGGGGAGCAAACAGGAUUAGAAACCCUAGUAGUCC
rnacentral:rRNA from 1 species